GAUGAACGCUAGCGGCAGGCCUAAUACAUGCAAGUCGAACGGUAAGGCCCUUUCGGGGGUACACGAGUGGCGGACGGGUGCGUAACGCGUAUGCAACAUGCCUUCCAGCGGGGGAUAUACCAGGGAAACUUGGCGCAAUACCCCAUAGAAUUACGGGACCGCAUGGUCUUGUGAUUAAAACUCCGGUGCUGGGAGAUUGGCAUGCGUGACAUUAGCUAGUUGGCGGGGUAACGGCCCACCAAGGCGACGAUGUCUAGCUGGUCUGAGAGGAUGAUCAGCCACACUGGGACUGAGACACGGCCCAGACUCCUACGGGAGGCAGCAGUAGGGAAUAUUGGGCAAUGGGCGAAAGCCUGACCCAGCAACGCCGCGUGAGGGAAGAAGGCCUUCGGGUUGUAAACCUCUGUCCUUGGUGACGAAAAAAUAGACGGUAGCCAAGGAGGAAGCCCGGCGUAACUACGUGCCAGCAGCCGCGG
rnacentral:rRNA from 1 species